UGAGCAAUCUGCCCUUCUCAUCGGAAUAAGCGUUGGAAACGACGUCUAAUGCCGAAUACGACCUCCUUUCGCAUGAUCGGAGGUGGAAAGCUCCGGCGGAGAAGGACGAGCUCGCGGCCUAUCAGCUAGUUGGUGUGGGUAAUGGCCCACAAGGCGACGACGGGUAGCCGGCCUGAGAGGGUGACCGGCCACACUGAGACUGAGACACGGCCCAGACCUCCGUACGGGAGCAG
rnacentral:rRNA from 1 species